UGUUCCUGGCCCUAGAAAUCCCUAAAUCUCAAGCAUUCAAACUCUCAUCUAGAUAUAGAGUUGUCGAAUCGGUUUUGAUUUUGUCGCUCAAUCGAACAAGGUUCAAUCGAAUAUUAUGAUUAUGAAGACGAAAACAAAGACAAAGAAGAUUAUGAAGGGGAAGGAGUCAAGAAGUUGAUUUCGUCAGAGAGAAUGUAACAAGGUGUUUAUUGAUGUUUAUUCUAGACUUCAUUUUGAAGAUCUGACCAAGAGCAUUGGAAACUGAAUGCCAACAAUUUGAAGUUUACUCCA